rnacentral:rRNA from 1 species
UACGAAGGGGGCUAGCGUUGCUCGGAAUCACUGGGCGUAAAGCGCACGUAGGCGGAUUUUUUAAGUCAGGGGUGAAAUCCUGGAGCUCAACUCCAGAACUGCCUUUGAUACUGGGAAUCUCGAGUCCGGGAGAGGCGAGUGGAACUGCGAGUGUAGAGGUGAAAUUCGUAGAUAUUCGCAAGAACACCAGUGGCGAAGGCGGCUCACUGGCCCGGUACUGACGCUGAGGUGCGAAAGCGUGGGGAGCAAACAGG